AUCUUGGCUGGAUCUUUAUCAGAUGGCUUUGGUGGAGGGAUCCAAAGUCCACUCAGGGCUGAGAGCGCCACCUGGUGACCAAGUUUGUAAGUAAGCUCGUCUCUUGGUUCUAGAUUCAGAAAGCAUGGACAAUUUCUCUUACUUUUAUCUCUGGUCCUCUCUUCCCCUUGUCUGAUGGCUAGUCUUGGCGGUUAAGGUCACACAGCUCAAAACUGAGGAGGGAAUUUCGACUGAGGAACUGCCGCCAUCCUACGGCACCCGGGCACAUUAUGGUGCGUCUUCUUGAUUAACUGAGGUCGCAAGGCGGAGCCCACUGUGGGUGGUGCUAUCCCUAGGCCAUGGGCCUAGGCAAAGCUAAUACGCAGGCAACAGAGUUCCUUGGCCUUCUGCUUUAGUUUUCCUUCCUUGGCUUCUCUCAAUGAUGGCCAUCAAAGCAUAAGCUGGAAAAAAUCCUUUCCGCCUCCAUUUGUGACGUCAUAAUGGUCACCAUAGCAACCAAAGAAAACUAGAACACUUUCCUUUUUGUGUGUUGUUUUUGUUUUGAAAGUGGUUAAUUAGCUUGUAUUGCCCUGAAAUUCCUGAUCCUCCUGCCUCAACCUCCCAAGAGCUGGGGGGCAGGGAGGGGGGAGGGUUGUAUGUAACAUGUCCCACUGAAACACAUUUAUAAUUCCAGUUUAGACCUGCAAGGACUGGUUUUUGUUUCUUUGUUGUUUCCGGUGUGUUUUUUAAGCUCCUUGAAAUAAUUGUUGAACCCCAUAAGCUAUCUGGCUGACCGGACCAGCCUCUUAACAGCAAACCCUGUUUUCAGGGGAGUGACGGUGCACACAGUUGGAACCUACAGAGGAAGCGUCCUGAUGUUAGCCUCUGCUCCCACAUCCCUCAUAGCACACGCUAGAGUUUAAUCCCGAGUGUUGGGAUUAAAGGUAUGCGCCACCACGCCUGGCUAAUCCACCUCUUUUAAGAUUUUUUUUUUUAAGAUUUAUUUAUUUAUAUUUAUUAUAUGAAGUAC
rnacentral:lncRNA from 1 species